rnacentral:lncRNA from 1 species
GCAGCCUUUCCUUUAUUGCAUUAUUCAACUUCCUGGGUACUUUGUUCAACUGGAUUCCUCGUCAGGCAGGUAUUGAGCUGUUGAGCCUCAAGUUGAGAAGGUAUCCUCUAGGAGGUGAUGUCCACCAAUGCAUCUGGUUGCCUGCUAGGUUCAGCUUCAUCAGGGAUCACAUCCUGUGGAACAGCAUCUAAAGUCUUCUUUACAUGCCAUUCCUGCUUCUCAGGAGGUCUUUUCCUUUUAGGCUCUUGUCUCUUUUUCAAACCAUCAGCAGUUUGAUCCAUCUUAGCCUCAGAUCUUAAAUUGUACCAGCAGUCUAGCUCAUCAUAGGAGGUCUGUUCCUUUUAGGCUCUUGUCUCUUUUUCAAAUCAUCAGCAGUUUGAUCCAUCUUAGCCUCAGAUUUUAAAUUGUACCAGUAGUCCAGCUCAUCAUGACCAAACUUCAAACAAUGAUUGCAGAACAGGGGUUUCCAGUCGUACUCAAUCUGCUGCACCUUUAGUCCAAAUGGGGUGUCAAUAUCAAUCUGGUCUGGAAGUGACUGGGCAGCAUCAACCUCCACAAGGACUCGAGCAUAAGAUAUUUUUUUCAUAAUGGGCAG